GACGAACGCUGGCGGCGUGCCUAAUACAUGCAAGUCGAACGAGAGCGACCGGUGCUUGCACUGGUCAAUCUAGUGGCGAACGGGUGAGUAACACGUGGGUAACCUGCCCAUCAGAGGGGGAUAACAUUCGGAAACGGAUGCUAAAACCGCAUAGGUCUUCGAACCGCAUGGUUUGAAGAGGAAAAGAGGCGCAAGCUUCUGCUGAUGGAUGGACCCGCGGUGCAUUAGCUAGUUGGUGAGGUAACGGCUCACCAAGGCCGUGAUGCAUAGCCGACCUGAGAGGGUGAUCGGCCACAUUGGGACUGAGACACGGCCCAAACUCCUACGGGAGGCAGCAGUAGGGAAUCUUCCGCAAUGGACGCAAGUCUGACGGAGCAACGCCGCGUGAGUGAAGAAGGUUUUCGGAUCGUAAAACUCUGUUGUUAGAGAAGAACAAGUGCUAGAGUAACUGUUAGCGCCUUGACGGUACCUAACCAGAAAGCCACGGCUAACUACGUGCCAGCAGCCGCGGUAAUACGUAGGUGGCAAGCGUUGUCCGGAUUUAUUGGGCGUAAAGCGAGCGCAGGCGGUUCCUUAAGUCUGAUGUGAAAGCCCCCGGCUCAACCGGGGAGGGUCAUUGGAAACUGGGGAACUUGAGUGCAGAAGAGGAGAGUGGAAUUCCAUGUGUAGCGGUGAAAUGCGUAGAUAUAUGGAGGAACACCAGUGGCGAAGGCGACUCUCUGGUCUGUAACUGACGCUGAGGCUCGAAAGCGUGGGUAGCAAACAGG
rnacentral:rRNA from 1 species